rnacentral:tRNA from 1 species
UGGGUAUAGCUCAGUGGUAGAGCACAUGCUUAGCAUGCACAAGGACCUGGAUUCAAUCCCCAGUGCCUCAG